CUGGCUAAGACUCCCAAUAUUAUGUUGAAUAGCAGAGAUGAGAAUGAGCAUCCUUGUCUUGCUUGUGAUCUUAGAGGAAAGUUUUCAGUUUUUCACCAUUGAAUAAGAUGCUAACUGAAGGUAUGAUCUGAA